GUUGGAAUAGCUCAGUGGUAGAGCGCCCAUGAUCAAAGCGGGAGGUCGGUGGUUCGAUUCCCCUUCCAAAA